AAGUUUGAUCAUGGCUCAGAACGAACGCUGGCGGCAUGCCUAACACAUGCAAGUCGAACGCCCUCUUCGGAGGGAGUGGCGCACGGGUGCGUAACGCGUGGGAACCUGCCCUUAGGUUCGGAAUAACACAGAGAAAUUUGAGCUAAUACCGGAUAAUGUCUUCGGACCAAAGAUUUAUCGCCUUUGGAUCGGCCCGCGUUGGAUUAGCUAGUUGGCGGUGUAAUGGACCACCAAGGCUACGAUCCAUAGCUGGUCUGAGAGGACGACCAGCCACACUGGGACUGAGACACGGCCCAGACUCCUACGGGAGGCAGCAGUGGGGAAUCUUGGACAAUGGGCGCAAGCCUGAUCCAGCCAUGCCGCGUGAGUGAAGAAGGCCUUAGGGUUGUAAAACUCUUUCGCCGGUGAAGAUAAUGACGGUAACCGGAGAAGAAGCCCCGGCUAACUUCGUG
rnacentral:rRNA from 1 species